rnacentral:rRNA from 1 species
GGGGGAUUGGCGGCGUGCUUACACAUGCAAGUCGAACGGUGAAGCCCAGCUUGCUGGGUGGAUCAGUGGCGAACGGGUGAGUAACACGUGAGCAAUCUGCCCCUGACUCUGGGAUAAGCGCUGGAAACGGCGUCUAAUACUGGAUAUGAGCUGCGAUCGCAUGGUCAGUAGCUGGAAAGAUUUUUUGGUCAGGGAUGAGCUCGCGGCCUAUCAGCUUGUUGGUGAGGUAAUGGCUCACCAAGGCGUCGACGGGUAGCCGGCCUGAGAGGGUGACCGGCCACACUGGGACUGAGACACGGCCCAGACUCCUACGGGAGGCAGCAGUGGGGAAUAUUGCACAAUGGGCGCAAGCCUGAUGCAGCAACGCCGCGUGAGGGAUGACGGCCUUCGGGUUGUAAACCUCUUUUAGCAGGGAAGAAGCGAAAGUGACGGUACCUGCAGAAAAAGCGCCGGCUAACUACGUGCCAGCAGCCGCGGUAAUACGUAGGGCGCAAGCGUUAUCCGGAAUUAUUGGGCGUAAAGAGCUCGUAGGCGGUUUGUCGCGUCUGCUGUGAAAUCCCGAGGCUCAACCUCGGGUCUGCAGUGGGUACGGGCAGACUAGAGUGCGGUAGGGGAGAUUGGAAUUCCUGGUGUAGCG